UACAGAGGCCUCGAGCGUUAGGCGGAAUCACUGGGCUUAAAGCGUGUGUAGGCGGACUUCUAAGUACCUUGUGAAAUCCCACGGCUCAACCGUGGAACUGCUUGGUAUACUGGUCGUCUUGAGCCAUCUAGGGGCUGUCGGAACAAAUGGUGGAGCGGUGAAAUGCGUAGAUAUCAUUUGGAACGCCAAAGGUGAAAACAGACAGCUGGGGAUGUGCUGACGCUGAGACACGAAAGCCAGGGGAGCGAACGGG
rnacentral:rRNA from 1 species